CAGUAAUGCAAGGCAUACGGCUCAGUAACACGUAGUCAACCUACCCUAUGGACGAGAAUAAUCUCGGGAAACUGAGCAUAAUUCUUGAUAGAUCAUAAUGCCUGGAAUGGUUUAUGGUUAAAAUGAUUCGUCGCCAUAGGAUGGGACUGCGGCCUAUCAGCUUGUUGGUGAGGUAAUGGCCCACCAAGGCGAUUACAGGUACGGGCUCUGAGAGGAGAAGCCCGGAGAUGGGUACUGAGACACGGACCCAGGCCCUAUGGGGCGCAGCAGGCGAGAAAACUUUGCAAUGUGCGAAAGCACGACAAGGUUAAUCCGAGUGAUUUCUGCUAAAGAAAUCUUUUACCAGUCGUAAAACCGCUGGUGAAUAAGGGGUGGGCAAGUUCUGGUGUCAGCCGCCGCGGUAAAACCAGCACCUCAAGUGGUCAGGAUGAUUAUUGGGCCUAAAGCAUCCGUAGCCUGCUUUGUAAGUUUUCGGUUAAAUCCAUGUGCUCAACGCAUGGGCUGCCGAAAAUACUGCAUAGCUAGGGAGUGGGAGAGGUAGACGGUACUCAGUAGGUAGGGGUAAAAUCCUUUGAUCUAUUGAUGACCACCUGUGGCGAAGGCGGUCUACCAGAACACGUUCGACGGUGAGGGAUGAAAGCUGGGGGAGCAAACCGGAUUA
rnacentral:rRNA from 1 species